AGGUAACAGGUUUGUUUUGUGA
rnacentral:miRNA from 1 species